rnacentral:tRNA from 1 species
GGAGGGGUGGUUGAGCGGUUGAAAACACCGGUCUUGAAAACCGGCACAGGCUAAACCCUGUCGUGGGUUCGAAUCCCACCCCCUCCGCCA